UGUUUCGGCUAGGGGGCCAUCCCGGCUUACCAACCCGAUGCAAACUGCGAAUACCGGAGAAUGUUAUCACGGGAGACACACGGCGGGUGCUAACGUCCGUCGUGAAGAGGGAAACAACCCAGACCGCCAGCUAAGGUCCCAAAGUCAUGGUUAAGUGGGAAACGAUGUGGGAAGGCCCAGACAGCCAGGAUGUUGGCUUAGAAGCAGCCAUCAUUUAAAGAAAGCGUAAUAGCUCACUGGUCGAGUCGGCCUGCGCGGAAGAUGUAACGGGGCUAAACCAUGCACCGAAGCUGCGGCAGCGAACGUAUCACUUAAAGCGAUUCAGCGGGUUACGAUUGACGGAGCGAAGCGACGUCAAAGCGUAUACAAAGUCGAGUCGGUUUAAGGAUACGUUCGUUGGGUAGGGGAGCGUUCUGUAAGCCUGCGAAGGUGGCCUGUGAGGGUUGCUGGAGGUAUCAGAAGUGCGAAUGCUGACAUAAGUAACGAUAAAGCGGGUGAAAAGCCCGCUCGCCGGAAGACCAAGGGUUCCUGUCCAACGUUAAUCGGGGCAGGGUGAGUCGACCCCUAAGGCGAGGCCGAAAGGCGUAGUCGAUGGGAAACGGGUUAAUAUUCCCGUACUUGGUGUUACUGCGAAGGGGGGACGGAGAAGGCUAUGUUGGCCGGGCGACGGUUGUCCCGGUUUAAGCGUGUAGGUGUGUGUUCCAGGUAAAUCCGGUUCACUUUAACACUGAGGCGUGAUGACGAGGCACUACGGUGCUGAAGCAACAAAUGCCCUGCUUCCAGGAAAAGCCUCUAAGCAUCAGGUAACAUCAAAUCGUACCCCAAACCGACACAGGUGGUCAGGUAGAGAAUACCAAGGCGCUUGAGAGAACUCGGGUGAAGGAACUAGGCAAAAUGGUGCCGUAACUUCGGGAGAAGGCACGCUGACACGUAGGUGAAGUGAUUUACUCAUGGAGCUGAAGUCAGUCGAAGAUACCAGCUGGCUGCAACUGUUUAUUAAAAACACAGCACUGUGCAAACACGAAAGUGGACGUAUACGGUGUGACGCCUGCCCGGUGCCGGAAGGUUAAUUGAUGGGGUCAGCGCAAGCGAAGCUCCUGAUCGAAGCCCCGGUAAACGGCGGCCGUAACUAUAACGGUCCUAAGGUAGCGAAAUUCCUUGUCGGGUAAGUUCCGACCUGCACGAAUGGCGUAAUGAUGGCCAGGCUGUCUCCACCCGAGACUCAGUGAAAUUGAACUCGCUGUGAAGAUGCAGUGUACCCGCGGCAAGACGGAAAGACCCCGUGAACCUUUACUAUAGCUUGACACUGAACAUUGAGCCUUGAUGUGUAGGAUAGGUGGGAGGCUUUGAAGUGUGGACGCCAGUCUGCAUGGAGCCGACCUUGAAAUACCACCCUUUAAUGUUUGAUGUUCUAACGUGGACCCGUGAUCCGGGUUGCGGACAGUGUCUGGUGGGUAGUUUGACUGGGGCGGUCUCCUCCUAAAGAGUAACGGAGGAGCACGAAGGUUGGCUAAUCCUGGUCGGACAUCAGGAGGUUAGUGCAAUGGCAUAAGCCAGCUUGACUGCGAGCGUGACGGCGCGAGCAGGUGCGAAAGCAGGUCAUAGUGAUCCGGUGGUUCUGAAUGGAAGGGCCAUCGCUCAACGGAUAAAAGGUACUCCGGGGAUAACAGGCUGAUACCGCCCAAGAGUUCAUAUCGACGGCGGUGUUUGGCACCUCGAUGUCGGCUCAUCACAUCCUGGGGCUGAAGUAGGUCCCAAGGGUAUGGCUGUUCGCCAUUUAAAGUGGUACGCGAGCUGGGUUUAGAACGUCGUGAGACAGUUCGGUCCCUAUCUGCCGUGGGCGCUGGAGAACUGAGGGGGGCUGCUCCUAGUACGAGAGGACCGGAGUGGACGCAUCACUGGUGUUCGGGUUGUCAUGCCAAUGGCACUGCCCGGUAGCUAAAUGCGGAAGAGAUAAGUGCUGAAAGCAUCUAAGCACGAAACUUGCCCCGA
rnacentral:rRNA from 1 species